rnacentral:rRNA from 1 species
AGAAUCAACGCUGGCGGCGUGCCUAACACAUGCAAGUCGAACGAGAAAGUGGAGCAAUCCAUGAGUAAAGUGGCGCACGGGUGAGUAACACGUGGCUAACCUACCCUUGAGUGGGGGAUAACCUAGAGAAAUCUGGGCUAAUACCGCAUAAUACCUUCGGGUCAAAGGAGCAAUUCGCUUAAGGAGGGGGUCGCGGCCGAUUAGUUAGUUGGCGGGGUAAUGGCCCACCAAGACUAUGAUCGGUAUCCGGCCUGAGAGGGCGCGACGGAACGACGACCUAGGAACUGAAACACGGUCCAGACUCCUACGGGAGGCAGCAGUGGGGAAUUUGCGCAAUGGGGGAAACCCUGACGCAGCAACGCCGCGUGGAGGAUGAAGUCCCUUGGGACGUAAACUCCUUUCGAUCGGGACGAUAAUGACGGUACCGAGAGAAGAAGCCCCGGCUAACUUCGUGCCAGCAGCCGC